UUUGACAGAAAAUACACUUGCUCGUAUCGAUAAAACGCCAAUACUCCGAGGAGUUUCUUUCAUUCAAAAAAGCUUAUCAUCUAACCGAAAGACAUGAAAAUGUCUCCGGAAGUUUAGACAAUAAGACCUUAAUGUCCGAAAAGAAAUGUCCCAACUUGUAAGACCACGCUACCUGAAACAAAUACAAUUCAUUAAUAACAAGAAAAUAUAAUAAAUUUAAUAAAUAAAAUCAAUAUAGUUUAUCAAAUUAAAAGAUGGUAAAAGUGAAUGAAAUGAUAAAUAUAAAAAUCAUUCGACAAAAAAAG
rnacentral:lncRNA from 1 species